AAAAAGAAAAUAAAUAUGAGAUUAAUAACAAUAAUUUGUACAUUGGAAAGAUAAGUAGAGCCUCUUUUAAUAUGCUCCUUUUUUAUUUUAAAUACUGUCUUUUAAGAUCUGUUUUAAAUAGGUAUACAUAAUUAAUUUAAGGUACUUUUGAAACAUGCCUUUUUUAUUUUAAAUAAGUAGCAACUUUUUAUUUUUACGUAAAUGAAAUGUAUUUUAUGUAUUUAUGCUAUACGUUGACGUUUUUUAUAGUCAUAAACAAGCUUCAAAAUUGGCCAUAUUUUGCCGCGAUAUAUUCAACGGCAAUAAACAAUCAAUAUGUUCGCGGGAGUAAUAUGAAAAUGUGCGCAUGUACGGAUAGUAUUCCUGUUCGAUAAUAACUGGUUUGUUUCUUCAGCUCCAGACAGUGAACCAUAGAAAUUUAACGAAUAACAAUAGGAAUUUCUAUUGAAUAGAAAUCGGAAGAUGUCGAAUAGUAAAUGUGUUAAACAGUUACGCAAAAAUUAUGUUAAAGAACAGCAAGAAAUGUCACAUUCGGAAAAACUACGAUUAAUAGAUGAUGAGUUGAAUGCAUUUUACAAAUAUUGUCAACAGGCUGGUUUCACAGAAGAGGAAAUGGAUAUUAUUUGUCAACCGUUAGUGGCUGCAAUGCGACGUUCUUGGCUACAGCUUGUUUUCCGUGGAACGCUUGUUCUGAUUGUCCUUGGUACUUUAGCUUGUCUAGCAGCCCAACUUGAUUUUGUUGGAACGCAUUUUACUGCAAUCAGUCGUCUUUUACUUAUCAAAGUUCUUCCAAUUUGGAACUGGCAACCCUUGUACUAUGAAAAUUGUAUGAUCAAUAAUCCUUUUUAUAAUGAUUACAUGAUAACAGAAGAAGACUGCGUGACUUGUGAAGCUCUAGAAACCAUUGAUCGCUUGUCAGAUGUGAGAUAUCGCAAUCUUGUUGAUAAUUAUUUGAGUAGGGAUGCACCUGCAAUUAUUACAGAUGCAAUGGACUCUUGGGCAGUUAUGAACACAGAUUAUUUCUGGUUUGAUAAUAUCACUCAUCUUUAUUUAGAAAACGAACGCUUAAUGGAAACAGUACCUUGUGCUUUAACUUCAAAUCUGAGAACUGGUUCGUCCGACUUGGCAGCAUUUUUACGUCGGGUACAUUCACCUGAAGUAGCUAAAUGGUUUGUCCACUGGCAAAAUUGUGACAUCAACGCGGUGAAGGUGUUGAGAAAAUAUUAUCAACGCCCGUACUUUCUUUCAAGUACUGUCUCACCAGCACAUUUUAAUUGGGUCCUUAUGUCGUCGGAUUACAAUAGUCCAAGUUAUAAAAAGGUUGAACUAGAUUCGGGUCUCAUAGCUUUAGCUCAACUACGGGGAGCUACGCAACUUCGUUUGACUCCUAUAAAUCCUUGCAAUAGUUCUUGCCCCGAACUAAUAGCAGAUUUGCAUCAGGGCGAGAUGCUUGUUUUUACUAAUUUAAUGUGGACUUUGGAAUACGCGCCGAUGAGAGGAUUAGACAACAUCGCAAUCUUGACUGAAACCGUCUGGGAGGAGGAUACAUAAACUAUAACACUUUUCUCUUUAUAUUGCGUUAGUCCAUGAUAUUCCGAAUCCAAGUCGACCAUUUUCUACUUUACGAUAGCACGUACAAAACCUUUUAUUUUACUAUUCUAUCGGAGGUUGAAGAAAAGGACUUGACGAGGAUACCAAAAAUUUUUCCGAUAUUUCAGUUGGGCUAACAAGGAAUAGAUUGUUAUGCACCGAUUCAUAGAAAAAACAAAGCGCAAGAUUACUGAAUGACAAACGUAGCUGGCGAUUCGACAUGCUUAAUCGAUGCGAUAAUUUGUUAUAUUAAAAGUUGUAUGAGUGUAUAUAAUCGAUUUCUUCAUUUGCGCUACGUUCUGUUUAUACAAUCUUAGGGUAUCGAUGCAAGAGAAGGAAUGACAAUAAUUGGCGCCUAGCUAAUAACACCAUCGAAGUAUGUUCCUCGGGUCUUCUAUCCCGCACUCUGCAACUACUUCUUUUCAACUCAUUUUCUUUUCAAACCAACUGCCCUCUCUGAUUUUUAUUCAUUAUAUCAUAUGCACCGAUAUACACACACGCACACGUAUGCACAUUCUUCCUCUUUUCUUUCUUUAUUCUAUCUUUCCAUAAAGUGUUUUCAUGGAACAAAGUUCUACGAUUCCGAAGAGAGCUUUAAUCUCGCAUCGAAGAUUAACACUCAUCGCUAAUAUCUGUUGGAAUAUCGUGUAUUAUUUAACUAACCGUUAUCUAAAUCGAAAUAACGCAUGUACAUCUAUUUUUCUCAGGAUGUGGAAAACACUUUUCUGAAAGAGAGGUUUCGGUAUGAGACCUAACACCGAUUACUUUAUUUAUUUAUUUGUUUGUUUUCAUCGAAUCGAAAGGAUUUUCCACGCGCUUCAGACGGUCUUCUCAGCGAAAGAGGAUCGACAAUCGAACGAACAUCGUUCCGCGAUCGAUUUAUUUAGGGCAUACACAUACGCAUCAUCCUCGGCACGGCUUAUAUUUGCAAUUCAUAUUGUAUUAGCUGUCGCGGUAUCAAAAGAUUGUUUUAUACGAAUCCAUUCAACGACUAAAUUUAUAACAAUGACAAUGUACAAGUGAGAUACUACACAAAAAUGAGCGUAGACAACGAACGAAACGAUUUCGUGGUAUCUAAGAGAAUCCAAUUUUCUCUCGUUUAUUAUAUUUCCCCACACUUUUUCAUUUAAUUUAUUAGAGCGUUAUUUAUGUUUUGUCUGCGCUUGUUUUUUUCUUUUUUUUUUUAUUUCGUUUCGUUUUAUUUUUGGUAAAUGUUUAAAUAAAAAGAUU